rnacentral:rRNA from 1 species
AGCAUGCUAGUUGCACGAGUUUAGACUCGUAGCAGAUAGCUCAGUAACACGUGGCCAAACUACCCUAUGGAUCCGGACAACCUCGGGAAACUGAGGCUAAUCCGGAAUACGGCUCUCAGCCUGAAAGUGGCGAGAGUCAGAAACGCUCCGGCGCCAUAGGAUGUGGCUGCGGCCGAUUAGGUAGACGGUGGGGUAACGGCCCACCGUGCCCAUAAUCGGUACGGGUUGUGAGAGCAAGAGCCCGGAGACGGUAUCUGAGACAAGAUACCGGGCCCUACGGGGCGCAGCAGGCGCGAAACCUUUACACUGCACGAAAGUGCGAUAAGGGGACUCCAAGUGCGAGGGCAUAUAGUCCUCGCUUUUCACCACCGUAAGGAGGUGGUAGAAUAAGUGCUGGGCAAGACCGGUGCCAGCCGCCGCGGUAAUACCGGCAGCACGAGUGAUGACCGCUCUUAUUGGGCCUAAAGCGUCCGUAGCUGGCCACGCAAGUCUAUCGGGAAAUCCGCGCGCUCAACGCGCGGGCGUCCGGUGGAAACUGUGUGGCUUGGGACCGGAAGAUCCAGAGGGUACGUCCGGGGUAGGAGUGAAAUCCCGUAAUCCUGGACGGACCACCGGUGGCGAAAGCGCUCUGGAAAGACGGAUCCGACGGUGAGGGACGAAAGCUCGGGUCACGAACCGGAUUAGAUACCCGGGUAGUCCGAGCUGUAAACGAUGUCUGCUAGGUGUGCCACAGGCUACGAGCCUGUGGUGUGCCGUAGGGAAGCCGUGAAGCAGACCGCCUGGGAAGUACGUCCGCAAGGAUGAAACUUAA